rnacentral:rRNA from 1 species
GAGUAACACGUUGAAGUUCAUUCACCUUUUAGGACUGGAAUAGCCUGGAGAAAUCCGGGGUAAUGACAGAUGUGACCACGACCUCGAUGAGGAUGUGGUAAAAGGCAGGGACCGCAAGGCCUGUCACCUAAAGAGAAGCUCGCGGCCUAUCAGCUUGUUGGUGGGGUAACGGCCCACCAAGGCUAAGACGGGUAGCUAGUCUGAGAGGAUGUUUAGCCACACUGGGACUGAGAAACUGCCCAGACUCCUACGGGAGGCUGCAGUCGAGAAUCUUUAGCAAUGGGGGAAACCCUGACUAUGCGACGCCGCGUGAGGGAUGAAGGUCUUAGGAUUGUAAACCUCUUUCGACCGG